UACAGAGGUGGCAAGCGUUGUUCGGAAUCACUGGGCUUAAAGGGCGCGUAGGCGGGCCAGCCAGUCUGUGGUGAAAGCCUCCAGCUUAACUGGAGAAGUGCCGUGGAUACUGCUGGCCUCGAGGAGGAUAGGGGCAUCUGGAACGGUCGGUGGAGCGGUGAAAUGCGUUGAUAUCGACCGGAACUCCGGUGGCGAAGGCGAGGUGCUGGGUCCUUUCUGACGCUGAUGCGCGAAAGCCAGGGGAGCAAACGGG
rnacentral:rRNA from 1 species